CAAAGAUUACCAUGGACAACCAUGUGGAACUGGAAGAAUUUCUGCGAAAAACACGUUUACGUUCAACGUACCGUCAUAAGACGAAUGACAGAGGACAAGAUUAGCCUUGUCAGAGCUGCACAGUUCAGAGUUUUUCGAAGGGCCAGACGGAAGAAAGUUUUUACACAUAAUCUCAAUCUUGUUGAAAAACAGCAGUACAACACAAUAGGGCGCCUGGUGGCUUUGUCGCUUGUUCAAGAUGGCCCAAGUAUCCACUUCAUGAAUUGUCAGCUGUUCAACUCGAUGUCAGGCCAUACAGGAGACAUGACUCCCCAUCAAGAAAUUCUUGCAGAGGACAUAAAAGACUGCUUGGAUGAGGUCGGAGAAGAAACCAUGGAAUUGUGGAUAAACACGCAGCAGUACCGGUAUGCGUUGGUACAAGGUUUCUCAAAACUACAAACUCGCAGUCACAUUUUUUGUAUCAAAUACUGAGAAUGGAGCUUAAGCUCCUGCUGGACGUUCAAGAUGUUCAAGUAUUGUAGCCUCAGCUGGAAUUGGACAAGAUGCUGCUAACAACACUUAGCUCAGGGAGAUGGAGUCACUGGUUGGCCAGCUCCAGACAAUGGUGAACCAAUUCCAGCAGGUUCAAGCUGGUCAGUCAGUGCAUGUCCCCAUGGUCCAAGCUGAGGGUAUUAUGGGAUUGAGAUUAUUGUUCUUGACAAAACUCGGCUACAAACUGUUCCAAGUGGUCGGUGUGCAAGCCAGGCAAGCCCCGCCACCUCAGGCCCCCUCCCGCCCCAUCAGCUAGGCUAGCCUCCAAGACGUGACCCAUGGAAGGAGGAAAAGGGUACUGGGGGUCCAAAGGGUGCCCGGGUACCUAAGAGAGCCAGCGUCGGCGAUGCACCUGCAGAACGUUUGUGUAUUUGUUUAGGUGUUGAUAAUGAAAACAAGGUUCAUAGAGUUUACUAGGUCGGUGCCGAAUAAAGCAAAGUUUAUUUUGCGAGGCUCAGAAAAUCUAAACCACGAGCCUUGGCGAAUGAUUCAGAUUUUCGUGCCGAGCAAAAUAAACUUUGCUUUAUUCGGCACCGACCUAGUCUUCGAUUUGUCCCAUCAAUUUUCUUUUUCGUAAAUUAUUUCUUUAAAAACAGAAUAGGAAAAUCUAACUACACGGAAAAUCCCAAAGUUAUUUUAAGCAAACAAUGUUUCAUGAUUUUAAUCGUGCUGAGCCUAAUACAUUACAAAAAGAUCAGUAACUAACCUGUAUUUCUGUUUAUCAUACCUCUACAUCCCCGAUUUUUAAGAAAUAAUAUAAAAAAAACACUGAACAACUGCAGCUUUAGCGUGAAAGAACAUGCAUUGUGUCUUAUGACGUGUAAUAAUGACGUCAUGAGUACGCGCACUUAAUAUUUGUAAAUAAUGUUUUUUUGCUUUUUGAGUUGCUUUAUGUGUUAAAAUAUAUUACAUCUUGGUAUCAAAUUGUUUGUUUUGUUGAAUCUGAUUCGAAUUUUACUAAAAAUGAUUACUUUAUAGUUGAUUCCGAGUAAUAUGCCCGUUCUCCGCCACGCGUGACAGCUAUAUUUCAGAACUGCUGAAAUAGAGGAAAAUGUAUUCCACAGUGGUUUAUUUCGACAAUGCAUGUCUGAUGAUGGGAUAAAACAAUUACAUACAUAGAUUGUCUAGAAGCAGAAUAGAUCACUUUCCGGUCCCUACCAUAAAUACUCAGUCUUACAUACUUUCGUUUAAAACUAGGGUCGCAAAUGGUACGCAAUGAUACUUAUAAUCCAACAAAAUUGUCCUUCCAAUAUGGAAGAUUUGAGAUUUAAAAAAAAAUAUAUAAAAUGUGUAUGAAGUUGGUUUAGUCAUAACUUCUUAGCGGUUCUUGAAAAGCAGAUCAAACUUAACCCAUUUAAGCCUUGUGGACUCUCCCAUCCUUCAUCCAUCAUGCAGCGUCUUAUCUUGGUCCAGCUGUUUGCAAAGGCCCGUUUUAUAGACAUUGGUUAACUUAGUGUUUUCAUGAAAGACUAAGUAGUUUAGAUAACCAAUGGAGGCUGAACAUGCUUAAAAUACGUAUUCAAUAUGUGUCAAUUGGGAUUGUUCUUAACAAUUUGCAUCAUGCACCUUUGUUUUCCGUAAAAGAUUCCAAAAGCAGAGCUUUGCAAAUGCUGUAACAUAUUGGGACGCUUGCCACUGACAACAAACACCAUAUGGCUAAGCAUGUUCAUCUCCAGACAACAGAAGCCAAUUUUGUCAACAGUAAAGGUUUUCUUUUAUGGCUUUUUAUGGCCAUUCAUCAUAAAAGAAAUAUGGAAGUCACACUCUGCUACCAAUAGUUCUUGAGCUUUCAAUUUUUUAUUUUCAUAAUAAGAGCUUAGCCGGAUGGUUCAAUUUUUAACAAAAACAUAGAUUAGUUAUUUUCAGUGGUAAUUUAUAGCUAGUGAAGCAUCUUUGGCAUAAAAUAAAAAACAUGUAUUGCCUUUUUGCAAUUAUUGUGCAUUGUGCAAGUGUUUAUUUUUUUUGUGCCAUGCCAGGCACGCCCACACAGGCUGCCAGCCAUGCAAGCUUUGCCACAAGCUAACCAAGCACAGGCUCCCUCCAGCUCAUCCAGCCAGGAUAGCCUCAGAGGGCCAAGGUCCAUCCCAAGCACAGUCCAACAGUUGCCCCAGACGCCUUCAAACCAACUGUCUCCUUUCAUCUCUGAGGAGUCCGUCUAUUGGACUCCCCAGCAGCCUAAGUUGGCACCUCAGGGCCUGUCUGGGGAGGCACAGGGCACUGGUCAAGUUGCCCGAUUGGUGAAAGACGUUGAGGAAGCGAGGACCAGUGCCCAAACCAAGGCCAAAGAGGCUCAGAGAUUGAAGGAGCACUUUUAAAGGAUUCAAGGACUGUUUGUGAACACAAUCAUGAAGAUGGAUGGCUUCAUAGGGGAAGUCAAGAAGGGAGCUUUAAUAUGUGAGUAUGCUGGAAACCAAAUGUGGCGUUUUGUUGAAGAAGUGAACACUAAGCUAGCAAUUGUGCCAAAAUAACGAAAGGAAGUCUGCUACCUAAACCCAGCCUGCCAGCUAGGUUGAAACAGAAACGUUCAGAAAAGUAGUCAAACAGAAUACCACUAACCCUAUUGUUAAAUAAACUUUAUUUGCAAUUCCUGCCAUGAAAAUUUAGCGCAACUCUGUUAGCCCUGGGGUGGUAUUCCAUAAACAUCUUAAGUCAUUUCUUAAAUAAUUUUAAUUUAGUUCAAAAUUACAAUGAUUUGUAUUUCUUUACUAAAUAAGGAAACACAUGUUUUUUUGGUAUUCAUAAAAUAACAUCGGCAUAAUGAUGUUAUUUAAAUGUAUAUCUUGAUGCCAAUCUAUAGCAAUUUGAAAUGAAACACUUAAGAAAAUUUCCCAAUUUAAGAUUAAGAAUAAAAUUUAACUUAAGAUGCUUCUGGAAUACGACCCCUGGGCAGGUAUAUUUAAAGGGAAUCCUGUGCUCAUAAUGAAUACAAUUAUUUUUGAAAUAUAGAAUAAUUAGUUGUUUAAAUUGUCAACUACAAAUAUCUCUAUUAUAUGUUUAAGGAUUAUACUUGGUUGAUUACAUCAUAUUUGUUUUGAGAAGUUACUUCCCAUGGUCUCAUUCAGGUACUUCAACUUACAUAAUCAAUUAUUUGUUUAACCGGAACACUGAAUUUUUAGCUCACCUGAUUGCUCAGGUGAGCUUUUUUGAUCGGUCUUUGUCCGUCAUCCGUCCUCAUUUGUCCUAAACACUUUAGAGGCCACAUUUAUUGUCCGAUCUUCAUGAAACUUGGUCAGAAGAUUUGUCCCAUUUAUAUCUCGAUUGAGUUCGAAACUGGGUCAUG